GGGGACCCGGAAGGACUGAACGGUUCACAUAGAAAGUAUAGCCAUCCCACAUCUGUGACAGAUAUUUGAUGAUGUACCGAGAAGUCCGGGAAAACCGGGUGGAUCACAUUAUCAACACUGCGUCAAUCACAAUACUGAAACUAAAGGAUAAAGGAACUAUAUCGGACUGUCAACGGGCCAGCUAUCCGAUAACUUUGAACACAAGGCGUACAACUUGCGUGGAC
rnacentral:lncRNA from 1 species